rnacentral:rRNA from 1 species
GCCUGUUUAUCAAAAACAUUGCCGCAUGAUAAUAUAUAUGAGGUAAAUCCUGCCCGGUGAUUUUUUUAACGGCCGCGGUACCCUGACCGUGCAAAGGUAGCAUAAUCAUUUGCCCUUUAAUUGUGGGCUUGUAUGAAUGGACUUACGAGAGUAUAACUGUCUCUUCGAGAUCAAUUUAAAUUAACCUACAGGUGCAGAGGCCUGUAUUCAAAUGAAAGACAAAAAGACCCUAUCGAGCUUAAGUCAAACUUCAAACUAAUAUAUCAAUAUCAUAAUAUUGAAGUAAAACUUUUGUUGGGGCGACACAAGAGCAAACAAAGCCUCUUGAACAAAUAAAGGCAUUCUAGCCAAUAAAUGACCCAACUCAUUGAUCAAAAAACAAAGCUACCGUAGGGAUAACAGGCUAAUCUUUUCUAAGAGCCCAUAUUGACGAAAAGGAUUGGCACCUCGAUGUUGGCUUAGAACUCCCCUAAAUCGCAGCAGAUUUAAUGGCAGGUUUGUUCAACCGUUAAAGUUC